UCGGAUUCCGUAGGUGAACCUGCGGAGGGAUCAUUACCGAGUUUACAACUCCCAAACCCAAUGUGAACGUUACCAAACUGUUGCCUUGGCGGGAUCUUUGCCCCGGGUGCGUCGCAGCCCCGGACCAAGGCGCCCGCCGGAGGACCAACCAAAACUCUUAUUGUAUACCCCCUCGCGGGUUUUUUUACUAUCUGAGCCAUCUCGGCGCCCCUCGUGGGCGUUUCGAAAAUGAAUCAAAACUUUCAACAACGGAUCUCUUGGUUCUGGCAUCGAUGAAGAACGCAGCGAAAUGCGAUAAGUAAUGUGAAUUGCAGAAUUCAGUGAAUCAUCGAAUCUUUGAACGCACAUUGCGCCCGCCAGUAUUCUGGCGGGCAUGCCUGUCCGAGCGUCAUUUCAACCCUCGAACCCCUCCGGGGGGUCGGCGUUGGGGAUCGGCCCUUUACGGGGCCGGCCCCGAAAUACAGUGGCGGUCUCGCCGCAGCCUCUCCUGCGCAGUAGUUUGCACACUCGCAUCGGGAGCGCGGCGCGUCCACAGCCGUUAAACACCCCAAACUUCUGAAAUGUGACCUCGGAUCAGGUAGGAAUACCCCAA
rnacentral:rRNA from 1 species